UUAGGCGGAUUUAUCUGCCGCUCAUGGAUGGGCCUGCGGUGCAUUAGCUAGUUGGUGAGAUAGUAGCUCACCAAGGCGACGAUGCAUAGCCGACCUGAGAGGGUGAUCGGCCACACUGGGACUGAGACACGGCCCAGACUCCUACGGGAGGCAGCAGUAGGGAAUCUUCCGCAAUGGACGCAAGUCUGACGGAGCAACGCCGCGUGAGUGAUGAAGGGUUUCGGCUCGUAAAACUCUGUUGUUAAGGAAGAACACUUGAGGUAGUAACUGGCCUUGAGAUGACGGUA
rnacentral:rRNA from 1 species